rnacentral:rRNA from 1 species
UACGGGGGGAGCAAGCGUUGUUCGGAUUUACUGGGCGUAAAGGGCGCGUAGGCGGCCUCCGCAAGUCAGUUGUGAAAUCUCCGAGCUUAACUCGGAAAGGUCAGCCGAUACUGCGGGGCUAGAGUGCAGAAGGGGCAACUGGGAAUUCUCGGUGUAGCGGUGAAAUGCGUAGAUAUCGAGAGGAACACCUGCGGCGAAGGCGGGUUGCUGGGCUGACACGUGACGUGGAGGCGCGAAAGCUAGGGGAGCGAACGGGA